rnacentral:lncRNA from 1 species
UUGCUAACUCCGACUCCUGGAGCUUUAUUACUGUUUCAAUGAAACAGCGAUCCAUAAAAUUUUAUCCAUCUUCUAAAGGUUUUUUUUUAAAUAUUUAUCAAAAUAAAUUUUGAAAGCAAUAUCAGAGAUGAAAAAAAUGGCAUAGAUUUCAUCAUUCGCAAUGCUGAUGUUAGACUUUUAGCUACUGAUACUUUCCAUCUUGUUGAGCCUUCUGUUUCGGAAGCGGAGCUUCACACCGUCUGAACAGACAUCAUUUUUAUCGAACAGUAGUUUCAAACGGACAGGAUCAGUAUUGAAGAUG